rnacentral:rRNA from 1 species
AUUGAACGCUGGCGGCAGGCCUAACACAUGCAAGUCGAGCGAGCGGCGGACGGGUGAGUAAUGUCUGGGAAACUGCCUGAUGGAGGGGGAUAACUACUGGAAACUGUAGCUAAUACCGCAUACCAUCAGAUGUGCCCAGAUGGGAUUAGCUAGUAGGUGGGGUAACGGCUCACCUAGGCGACGAUCCCUAGCUGGUCUGAGAGGAUGACCAGCCAAACUGGAACUGAGACACGGUCCAGACUCCUACGGGAGGAAGCAGUGGGGAAUAUUGCACAAUGGGCGCAAGCCUGAUGCAGCCAUGCCGCGUGUGUGAAGAAGGCCUUCGGGUUGUAAAGGACUUUCAGCGAGGAGGCGUUACUCGCAGAAGAAGCACCGGCUAACUCCGUGCCAGCAGCCGCGGUAAUAC